rnacentral:rRNA from 1 species
AACGAACGCUGGCGGCAUGCCUAACACAUGCAAGUCGAACGAGACGUUCGGGUCUCGUGGCGCACGGGUGCGUAACGCGUGGGAACCUGCCCUUAGGUUUGGCAUACCUCCCCGAAAGGGGUGCUAAUAACGGCUAAUGUCUUCGGACCAAAGCUUUAUCGGCUUUGGAUGGGGCGGCGUUGGAUUAGCUAGUUGGUAGCGUAAAAGCCUACCAAGGCGACGAUCCGUAGCUGGUCGGCGAGGAUGAUCAACCAGACGGGGACUGAGACACGGCCCAGACUCCGAGAGGAGGCAGCAGUGGGUAAUAGUGGACAAUGGGCGAAAUCAUGAACCAGCAAUGCGGCGUGGGUGAUGAAGGCCGGAGGGUAGAAAAGCUCUUGUACCCGGGAAGAUAAUGACAGUACCGGGAGAAUAAGCGCCGGCUAACUCCGUG